UACGUAGGGUGCGAGCGUUGUCCGGAAUUAUUGGGCGUAAAGGGCUCGUAGGCGGUUUGUCGCGUCGGGAGUGAAAACACCGGGCUUAACUCGGUGCUUGCUUUCGAUACGGGCAGACUAGAGGUAUGCAGGGGGAGAACGGAAUUCCUGGUGUAGCGGUGAAAUGCGCAGAUAUCAGGAGGAACACCGGUGGCGAAGGCGGUCUCUGGGCAUUACCUGACGCUGAGGAGCGAAAAGUGUGGGGAGCGAACAGG
rnacentral:rRNA from 1 species